CGUGUAGGCGGACUCGCAAGUCGGUUGUGAAAUCCCUGGGCUCAACCUAGGAACUGCAUCCGAAACUGCUUGUCUUGAGUAAUGGAGAGGGCGGCGGAAUUCCCGGUGUAGAGGUGAAAUUCGUAGAUAUCGGGAGGAACAUCAGUGGCGAAGGCGGCCACCUGGACAUUUACUGACGCUGAGACGCGAAAGCGUGGGGAGCAAACA
rnacentral:rRNA from 1 species